AGAGGGGGCAAGCGUUGUUCGGAAUUACUGGGCGUAAAGGGCGCGUAGGCGGCCCGCUAAGUCGAACGUGAAAUCCCCGAGCUCAACUCGGGAACUGCGUCCGAUACUGGCGGGCUUGAAUCCGGGAGAGGGAUGCGGAAUUCCAGGUGUAGCGGUGAAAUGCGUAGAUAUCUGGAGGAACACCGGUGGCGAAGGCGGCAUCCUGGACCGGCAUUGACGCUGAGGCGCGAAAGCUAGGGGAGCAAACGGGAUUAGAUACCCCGGUAGUCCUAGCCCUAAACGAUGAAUGCUUGGUGUGGCGGGUAUCGAUCCCUGCCGUGCCGAAGCUAACGCAUUAAGCAUUCCGCCUGGGGAGUACGGUCGCAAGGCUGAA
rnacentral:rRNA from 1 species